ACUUGGGAGGGCUCAUUAAACCAGACUGUUGGGCCCCACCCUUAUAGUUUCUGAUUCAGAAGUUCUGGGGUGGGUCCUGCGAAUCUGCAUCUCUAACGAGUUCCCAGGUGGCCCUUCUGCUGCUGGUUGGAACCCACACUGCGAGAAUCACUGGUCUAGCGGUAAAGGAUGGUCUUUGAAAUCACAGGAGGAAUGAUAAAGGGCAAGUACUUCAGGAACAAAACCAUGCUGACAUCUUCAAGGAACCAGAUAGGAGUGUCCCCAAAGAACUAUAUAGGACAGAAUGUGAGCGGGGGAGAGACAGAGAGACACAGAAUCCGAAGCAGGC